CAGUAGCCACGGGAAUACGGAGGGUGCAAGCGUUACUCGGAAUCACUGGGCGUAAAGGACGCGUAGGCGGAUUAUCAAGUCUCUUGUGAAGUCUAACGGCUUAACCGUUAAACUGCUUGGGAAACUGAUAAUCUAGAGUAAGGGAGAGGCAGAUGGAAUUCUUGGUGUAGGGGUAAAAUCCGUAGAUAUCAAGAAGAAUACCUAUUGCGAAGGCGAUCUGCUGGAACUUAACUGACGCUAAUGCGUGAAAGCGUGGGGAGCAAACAGGAUUAGAGACCCGAGUAGUCCCUGUCUCUUAUAC
rnacentral:rRNA from 1 species